GGGAUUGUGACUCAGUGGUAGAGUGCUUGCCUAGCAUGUAUGAGGCACUGAGUUCGAACUACUCAGCACCA
rnacentral:tRNA from 1 species